AAUCCUUGGUUUUGUUUACGGUUCAAUAAAGAUACUUGUCCAGAUCCAUUACACCAAAUCUCUGGGUGUUUACAAUUGACGAGAAAACAUAUACAGGAAAAUGGCAUCUCCUCACAGCUAAGCUUUGGCUUUGUCUCUCUCUCCUCGCCUCCCGUUUGUUUCCUUAGUAACAGCUAGCAACGUCUUCCAGUCCCAUGGAGAGCCAACUGGGUCAACGCAAUGUAUUCUAACACAGAAAGAAAGGAGAAGUUCAGAGAAAGUGGAAUGAGCCUCCAAGACUGAAAACAUCCCAAUCUUCUUUUGCUCCAGCUCUUCCUUGGUUUCUUCAACCAAUGAGUGCUUUGCUACCCUCAAAAUCCAUGGAGAAGAUGCCUUGACUUCUCUUUCUCAGAAAGCUUCUGUCUUCUGCACCCUCUGCUAUGAAAUCUUCUUCCAGAUUUGGCUGCCAUGAUGGCUAUUGAUCCGGGCACGCCUUUCUCCUGCCCUCCUGUUCUGAACCUUCGUCAUGAAUCACAGAUAAACAAUUUACCAGUUGCUGCGAUAGUGCAUUACGACUUUAGCCUCCUGGAACAACCACAGAUGACUUUGAUUAAAGAGGAUUGGAUUAGAAGUGUGUUCAGCUUCACAUUAUUGAAAUGUAUUCAGUAUGCCAGCUAAUCUGUUUAUAUGGAUGACUUUCUCACAGAAGCAUAAUGUUGAACAGCAGGAUUAGCAAGGGCUUACUCAAGUAAGUGCGCUUAGCCCCUGUUGUAUAAAAUAUGUGUGUGUGUGUGUGUGUGUGUGUGUGUGUGUGUGUGUGUGUGUGUGUGUGUGUAGAGAGAGAGAGCGAGAGAGAGAGAGAAGCUAAAACAGAGACAAAAAUAAUGAGAUCCAAAGAAAGGAGAUGAGAAAACUAAGAAAUGGGGCUCAGAUUAUGACAGAGCACAAUAACAACACUUUAACUGCACCAACGUGACUUUUGUUAAGCUUAUGUUUCCCAUUCUUUUUUAAAGGUGACUUAUAGCACCCACUUAACCCAAAGUAACAAGAGAGGCAACCUCAUCCUCCAUCAGAACAGCAUUGAUCAGAAAGGGUGACAACUCUGGAAAAACAGCUUCUCCAAGAGGUUGAGCAGAUUACAGAACCUCUGAAGAUGCUCAUAAAUCACGGGCGAGUUCCUGUGGAAAGGAUCUCCCACCUUCACCAUCUUCUUUUCCUGAAGAUCACGGCAAUCAGAGGAGCACCCAAGCUUUUCCUUCUCAGGGUUCUGUUCUGAAGCUUGACUUCUUAAUGCUGUGGCAACAUAUUUGUCUCCGAAAUACGACAUGUGCAGAUUGUGUCUUUGUCAGCCCGAAAUGCGGCACGCAAGCAGAGAUGAAUAAUCAGACCGUCAGAGGGUUUGCUAAAUGAGCCCUGAGUGAAGCAAAGAAAUGAAGGUAUUUAAGAAAAGGAUGCACUGCAGGAGUUUCUCAGAAUGAACAUUUGCUGGUAUCCAAGUAUUACAGUC
rnacentral:lncRNA from 1 species